ensembl:lncRNA
CCAGGAAACCCUCAGCCACGGAGGACUAAGUGACCAUUUCCUGAAUUGGGAAAGACUAUGGGAGGAUGGAACAGCCACUUUGAACCCAGAGUUCAAGGUCAACCUGCCCUUCACUCCUGUGGCCUUUGGAGUUUCUUGUUUUUGACAAGCAGAAGGACUGAAUCGAAUUUGAUGGCUAUGUCACCUUUCUAACUGCCACAGUCUCCUCCAACUUCUUCUUUACAAGCAGUUUCUUGCCGCUUGACUUUCCGAACUCCAUCAGCUGAUCCAGAUACUGAUUCACCAGAUCCUUGUGUCUUCUUCUGCCUUGAUUGCCUUCACUGAAGAGUUGGUUUUCCCAGAUAUGGAAGUUACAUAGUUAUUAGU